UUUUUAUUUUUUUUAACUGAAAGAUAGGACAGAAGAGGGUCAUGAAAAGCAAAAAAAGUUAAGUAGUACUUGCAGAAAACCAAGACAGUGCGUGUUGUAAAAAAUGAAUGCUUGCUAAAAGGCUUAAAAGCUUUUCAGAUAAGAAAGCCAACUUAUCUCCAAGUGAGAUGAAUCUACAAAUGGGCUGUUCAUGAGCUUCUUAGGAGGUGUGCAGGUGUGAGGUUGUUUCCGUGAGUCGGGAAACAGCCAGAUGGCAUUUGUGUGUGAUGGCAAGCAGCAGUGAUUUACAGCAGUGGUUCCUUUCACAGAUCAGCACUUAUAUCUCUGUUCCAUCUCCAGGCUCUCUGCUCAUAUAAACAUCCCCAGUCCAUGGGCCUCUGAUGUUUCUGCCUUUGUGUUUACAGUGAGAAGUCAAGCAAAUAUCUGAACUUUUGGACAAAGAGAUCAGGGAUGAACAAUAGAAAGAGAAGCUUACAGCUUGAAUGAGUUCCAGAGAAACAUUAUACUUUUUGUGAUGCAGGAUUUAUGAUUUUAUCAAAAGAAAAACAUAGAUUUUACGUAUUUACCAAACAAAAACAGCUGACUCACAUGCGUUCCUACUGAACAUCUAUGAUCCUGUGUGUUAAAUUUUACUUUGCCAGCAAAAAAUCUUCUUUCAUUCAAGUAAAAGCUUUAUACAUAUAGCAGAAGAAAACAUGUUCAAUUACACUGAUUCAGCAGAGCCAUGGGCUGACCCAGAUAGAAAAAGUCCCUCUUCAGCACUCAGUCCCUGCAGCAGCCGAAAUGAAUAGUUUAGGAAUAAAAAAACCCCAAAAGGAAAUACACAUGGCGGCAUGUUUACGCACUGUUCUGCCAGAAGUUUUUUUUUUUUUUUGCAAUAAAGCAAAUGAGAUGUAUCAUUCACUUUUGAAAAAGACGCUUUGUCUGAAAAUAAUCUGGGUAAAAUAUAAUCACGCACGUUUCCAAUCAAACCAGAAUCCUCUGCAGCGCGCUGUAACUUCAAACAUCAAAGCAGGCUCAGAGCAAUUGUCUACCACUUUGCUCCCUUUAAACUGCCUUUUUUUUAGCUUUCGAAAGAAGAAAAAUCCCCCGUACAUCAAAGAGGGAGACAGAGAAAGUCAUUUAGCCUUAUCUUAAUUGAGCUGCAAUUUUAAUAAUGAUCUUACACAUUGGGACCAAGGAGGAGCUGCUGGAGGAGAGGCCAGUUCACUCGUGCUCCACUACUCCACUCUGGCUGUCUAAUCUCAGUUCCAGACAUGUCACUGCCUUGUGAUUUAUGAUGACCUAAUGUUUUGUUUACUUCAUGUUCAAAACAGGCGAGCAGUUUGCAUGGGGCAUGCACUAUAUGGAAACAUGAAAGUGCUGGGGCAGCUUUGCGGGACUGCAAUCCCCAGCCGUUUUACAGAAAUAAACAGCUCUGUGCUGCAGCCACCUGGCAAAGCACCUCCUUCAGACUGAGGGCCAGGACUUCCAGCAGCUCAGAAGUUUAUAAAAGUCGCAGACUACGAGUUUUAAUUGGUUGGCAUGAUGCUGUAGGAGCUGCUGUCUUAAAUUAACCUCUUAAAAACACACUGAGCCACUCUGUCUAUGCAUUUUGUCAAUAAUUGACUUGCCUCUGCCAUGUGUGAGAACAAAUGUUUGGGGCCUGACAACUGCUUGACAGUAAGGUCAAGAGUCCAGUAAGCCAGUUCACUUGAGUUGAGCUUCUGUUAGUGGUGUUCUGGCAUUUAGCAAAGCAGUUGAAAGGGAUUCAAACAGGACACGCUUCAUGGAGGAAGUGUUGUUCCUCCAAAGGAAAUUUUACACAAUGGAAGCUUUAUGCUCAUCCUAUACCUGGAAAGAGGCAAGAGCAGUUUUUUUUCUAUUUUUGAAAGAACAGCAAAAAAACAAAACAAAAAACACCCAACAAACUAUUUGUAUGUCAUCCAACCUUUCUGAAUGCCAUCAGUACUCAGCUGGUUCACAGGGUUCUACUGUGAAAACAUUCACGAGUCUACAGGUUUGAAAGUGGUCAUACCUUGGAAUGCUGCUGAAGCUGAACCAAAAUACAGAUGUCCAAGUACAGUUUUGGGGGCUCCUUCCAUAAUGAAAUAUAUCUUCAACUGAAAGCUGCAAG